UGUCUAAGUAUAAGCAACUUGUACUGUGAAACUGCGAAUGGCUCAUUAAAUCAGUUAUCGUUUAUUUGAUAGUACCUUACUACAUGGAUACCUGUGGUAAUUCUAGAGCUAAUACAUGCUAAAAACCCCGACUUCAGGAAGGGGUGUAUUUAUUAGAUAAAAAACCAACGCCCUUCGGGGCUCCUUGGUGAAUCAUAAUAACUUAACGAAUCGCAUGGCCUUGCGCCGGCGAUGGUUCAUUCAAAUUUCUGCCCUAUCAACUUUCGAUGGUAGGAUAGUGGCCUACCAUGGUGGCAACGGGUAACGGGGAAUUAGGGUUCGAUUCCGGAGAGGGAGCCUGAGAAACGGCUACCACAUCCAAGGAAGGCAGCAGGCGCGCAAAUUACCCAAUCCCGAUACGGGGAGGUAGUGACAAUAAAUACUGAUACGGGGCUCUUUUGGGUCUCGUAAUUGGAAUGAGAACAAUUUAAAUCCCUUAACGAGGAACAAUUGGAGGGCAAGUCGGUGCCAGCAGCCCCCC
rnacentral:rRNA from 1 species